rnacentral:lncRNA from 1 species
UUGGCUCCCUGGAGCUUAAUAAAAGCACACCAGUGAGCUGGGAAGCUCCUCCUGCCUCCCGGGUUCCCAUCACAUGGGCUUCUCACUGUCCUGGAACUUGUGAAAUAUGCAAGGCUCGCUGCCCAGAAAACCCUAGAGAUCUGCUUGUCUCUACUUCACCAGAGCUGGAACUUUGAGCAAGGACAGCUUCUCUUACGUGGUGUCUGGGCAUUGAAUUCAGGAGCUGGAGAUGGAAGGUUCGUCCUGGGGAAGAGUCUAGAUUGAAUGUCACAGUGAUUGAAUGACACAGUGACAGGACAUUCUACAAAGUUGCAGGAUUCUUCAUCUCCUUCCAUGAUGCUGAGUUCUGCUGGUUGGAGGCCAGGAGUGCCAACAACAACUAUUGGGUUUCCUCCUACUACUGAAGUGAAGGGCACAGAAAGACAAUGACAAGUCGCCGGGAUGACAGAUUCAGAUUACUAAAGGGAAAUCAGGUUGCUAGUACAUAGUAGUGCUUAGAAAGUCUAUGCUGAAACUCAAAGACAACUUGUGCUAUUAAAGAAUUCAUGUGUUCACCUAUAAAGAAGUCCAGAAAUACACAAUGGAGACAAAAUAAACAGCAUCUUCAACAAAUGGUGCUAGUUAACCUGGGCAGCCGCAUCUAGAAGAUCCAAAUAGAUCCAUACCUGUCACCUCACACAAAACUCAACUCCAAAUGGAUCAAAGGCUUCAACAUAAAAUCAAAUACACUGAACCUGAUAGAAGAGAAAGUGGGAAAUAGCCCUGAACUCUUUGGCACAGAAAAAGACUUUCUGAACAGAACACUAUUAACAUGGUCACUAAGAUCCACAAUUAAUUAAUUGGACCUUGUGAAACUGAAAAGAUUCUGCAUGUCAAAGGACAGCAUUAUUCAGACAAAGUGGCAGCCUACAAAAUGGAAAAUGUUUUACCAACUACACAUUUAAUAGAGGGCUACUAUUCAAAAUAUAGGGAAAAAAAUCUAAAAAAAAAAAUCCUAGGUAUCAAGGAAACAAAUACCUCAGUUAAAAAGUGGUACACAGAAGUGGGAGAGAGGACAGCAUAGAUCAUAUAAUGAAUUCCUUAUAUGUGAAGUUUUCCACAAAACAAAAAAGAGACAGUCAAACAACCUUGCCUAUCAAUGCAGCAUUACAUUACAUUUUGUUUAAAUUUAAAAAGUUUAUGUAUGUUUAUGAUACAGACGAGAAAACCCUGAGAAUAUGUCUUCUCACUUCUAAUUGAUUAGAAUCUCUGAAAAUGUAACCAGCAUAAUGUUCAAUUGUAGACACUAAAAGACAAGUAAAAUGUGAGAAAUGCAAUAUUGAUU